AUGACAGAGCCAUCUACAUCAGGAGCCCAAGACCAUGACGAUUAUCUAGUCACUCUCAUUUCUUUUUUCAGAGCUCCCCUCAACGCCAGUGCACCAUCCGAGUUGUUCAGCCAGCUUCUGCAUUAAAACGAAAACUCCCAACUUCAUCAGUUCCCGAAUUCAAUCCAGACUCCUACGGGGAAUCGAUUCCCGAAAAUGCUCCAAGGCCUGUCUGCGAAACCUGCUCCGUGGCCUGGUCAACAUGGGCGGCAUACGAGUUCCACAUGCUCCAGACUCAUAUAAUAUACCGCCCGUUUCGAUGCUCUGGAUGCCGGAACUUGAAUUUUCACACCGAAGAUGAAGGAAAGCACCACCUGGAACAUUUUCAUGGUGGCAAACCUGGCAGUUUUCAGCUCAUCAAACAGACGGAUUUUGCAAAGGAAAAUCAGUUGAUCGAAUGUCUGGAAAAUGCAAAAACCACCGAGCAACUCGGAAUUUCGAAAGAACGACUUGAAAAUGGGCUGAAAAUGAUUGAAAAACUUCAAAAAAUCAAGUUUAAAGCUGUGAAAGUGCAUCUUCCAUGCUGUCUUCGCCAUGAAAUGAUCUCAAAACACACAGAAACUGAAAAAGAAGCGCCGCCACAAGAAAAAUCGGUUACAAAUGCUCAAAAGCCCGGCAAUCCAGCACUUCUGUCUCUGGAAUCCCGAAACUACGACUACGAGCAACAAGAUACUGUUGGAAUUUGA
rnacentral:misc_RNA from 1 species